rnacentral:pre_miRNA from 1 species
AGGAGCAACAGCCCUAGUGGCGGGGCCAGGUCUGGAAACCUGGAUUCAGUCCCCGCAGGAACUCCGGAGCUCUCCUUCUGCAGGGCCUGGAGGCUCCGGGCGGGG